AAAAAAGUUACCAAAACCUAACAGGAAAAGGAAGGGUAGCAUCAAAUAUGGACUUUGGGGACGAAUACAUAUGUACAUUGUAACAUAGAGUUUGAUCAGACAAUCGCCAUCGAGAGGCACUUCAAUGGAGAAGGCAGAGCUCAUUGCGCGUUCUCAGCUUGAUGAAUCUUUACUCCCUAUAAGCUUCGAUAUCUUGUCCCCGUGCCCUUUCACAGUCACAGGUAUCGGUGUGUUUCGAUCCAAGAUACGAUAGGAUUACGCAUCCGGAUAUUAACCUAGAAAAGUCAAUUUAUGAGGACUUUUGUGUGCACAAACUUAAAUCCUCUGUGGGAAAAGUUCCUCACUCCAUCAGAAGAUCAUUAUUUUCUCCCGACCCUGAAGUAAAUUAUGUGCUGGUCAGAUGGAUCGUUUUAUUGAAGAUAUGGACUAUUGCAUAUUUCUUUUGUCUGAAUUUAAUGUAUUUUACCACCGGAUAAGGAGUCAUUCUUGGACUGCUUCUUAGCUUAUUUAUUUUCUAUUUAUUACAUAGAUACAUUUGAAGAUUCAUGGAUUUUCUUUCCUAUAGAUUACAUUCAUUGUUGUCAACACAUGUCAAGUCCGCUGGGUAAUGGAACAGUUGUGAAGACAUCUGACAAGAAGAUAGUUUGUUAAAAGGGUGUGAUAACGUUGGGGAAUUUCCUGGGCAGCUUUCUGACUAACUUGACUUCAGUACUUUUUGUACUCUGGCAUUAGUUUACACUUUCGCACUAUCAUUUUACUUUAUUAUUGAGUAUAGGGAACAUUUAGCUCUUGCUUUGUUUUUUUUGGCAGAGAAGUUGGAUUAGAAUUAUUGAUGCCAUUAUGUUUUUUCGGUGACCCACAGCCCGAAGCAGUUGGAAUAGCUUCUCAUUGGAGUGGUGAGGACCUGAGAAACUCUGAAACUAUUAACAAGCUUGUCUUUCAAGAGAUGUUUGACCACAUUGUCCGUGAGGCGAUUGAAGAAAUUGGAGCUCCCGCUGUAUCUCUUGUAACCUGUCAUGCUGAUGGCAAACAUUUCCAUGUGUUCAUGCUAAGAAAGGGGUUUCAAAAAAAUGAUUCAGGUAAAAAGGUCGCCUUUUCUGAGAGCUUGGUGGGAUCAAUACAAUGCAUAAAUGGAAGAGACAAAGGUAACACUUGAGUCUAUUAUCUUACCUCAUCAAUACCUUCUUUUACCCUUUUUGCAUCUUGCAAGCCUCGUAUUGAUAAUUUUCAUUCUUAUUUCUUUUCAUCUGUAUUAUCUUUUCGGGGGCUUGUGCUACACAUUAGUGUGAAAAAAGGAGUAAAAAAGUUUUAAAACGAGGGACUUCAUCUCAUGUCUUCUCUACUUCAUUAGUAAGCUCCUGAUAGAAAGCUAUAGUGAUAACGGCCAAAAGUAAUGAGCUGACAUGUCGCUUAGUAGCCAAAGGCAGGGACUAGCAGUAGUGCAGUACGUGUCUUAUUUACCUAGCAAGAAGAUUUGACACAGAGAAAUUUAGUGUGCAGGGGAUGUAUAGUCAGAAAUAGAAUAUCAAAACGAGCACGUGAGAUUCACCUUGAUUGCUGACUAUACAACGUAUGAAAAAUUCUGCCUUGCUGGUUUGGCCAAAACUUAUUGAGCUUAAUAUUGUAGUCUGGAAUGAAAUUCUGACUUGGUUAUGUGAUUCCUUGAUGUGAGUUCUUUGAAAUUCUGACUUGCUGCCUCAUAGUAAAACCUUGCCACUGGACGUAGUUUAGAAAAAUGUCUACAGGCCGAGUCUUAAAUGUCUUAAAGUGGGCACAGUCAAAUAUGUAUUUUUCGAACUGUAUUAAAAUUUGAAUAGCGGAGAGAAAAAUGCUUAACUUCCAUUAGUCAAAAGGUUUUGGUGGUUGGUAAAACCACAAGUUUAGCAUGGUAAGGAUCCUGAUACUUUCCCUCGGGGGUGCCAACCGGCCAUUAUCAAUCAUCAAAUUUGCUGUCCAAUGAGAUUACUUUGGAGGGGAGCCUUACUAUCACAAUCGUGUUUCAGGUUUUUAUAUUCUUAAAAGUCAGGGAAUUAUCACCAUGCAGUGGAUAUUAUAUUCUCCUGAAAUACCACAGUAUAUUGCUUCUUAAAGGUAGUAUUGUUUGGACUUUUUUUAUAUUGGAUGUGUGCAGACCUGUUGGAAGUAUGUUUUAUUAGGCGUAUAGUAUAUUUUUAGGGGCAGUGCAAGAUCGAAAUUAAAAUUGGUCUCUUAAAGUUCAAGACCAAAGAAAUUUGAAGUCAAAGAAGUUGGAUGAUAAAAAAUGGUAUCUCAUAGAUUUAUAAGUAACUUGUGUGGCCUUUUCUGCUUUCUUCGAUAUGAAGUACUUGCCUUUACACCGUAAAUGAACUAGUCGUGCACUUUUGCUGCCUCGGCUUUCUGUGUUGAUGCUCGUCCUUUUACAAGCAGAUGAAUUUGUUUAUAGUGAUUGCAGAACAGUGCUUGAUAAAGAGAUUUUAAGAGGUUUUGUUGGGUAUAUAUAGGCUGCCUGCAUGAGCUUUUAAGAAGCACCAUUAAUCUUUCAUAAUUCACUUUCAACCCAAAGAAUGAACAUUGCUGAAAGUGAUAGGAUUCUUGAAGCCAAGUAACUUGAUGUCAUGGAUGGUUGUGAUCAUUUGAAGGGGUCCAAGAACAAAUAGAAUUCAUAUAAGUUUUUACGUGACAAUGACAAUGACAA